AUUGAACGCUGGCGGCUGGCCUAACACAUGCAAGUCGAGCGGAUGACGGGAGCUUGCUCCUUGAUUCAGCGGCGGACGGGUGAGUAAUGCCUAGGAAUCUGCCUGGUAGUGGGGGACAACGUUUCGAAAGGAACGCUAAUACCGCAUACGUCCUACGGGAGAAAGCAGGGGACCUUCGGGCCUUGCGCUAUCAGAUGAGCCUAGGUCGGAUUAGCUAGUAGGUGAGGUAAUGGCUCACCUAGGCGACGAUCCGUAACUGGUCUGAGAGGAUGAUCAGUCCCACUGGAACUUGGACACGGUCCAGACUCCUACGGGAGGCAGCAGUGGGGAAUAUUGGACAAUGGGCGAAAGCCUGAUCCAGCCAUGCCGCGUGUGUGAAGAAGGUCUUCGGAUUGUAAAGCACUUUAAGUUGGGAGGAAGGGCAGUAAGUUAAUACCUUGCUGUUUUGACGUUACCGACAGAAUAAGCACCGGCUAACUCUGUGCCAGCAGCCGCCGUAA
rnacentral:rRNA from 1 species